rnacentral:rRNA from 1 species
AUGGACCUUUGCUUCGACUCGUUCACAGCAGAAGCAAUUGCAGUGAGGUUUGGUUUAAAUCUUGCUAAUACUGUUGGAUGCAGUAAGUUUGAUGUGAAUUCGGAUGGUGUGGAGGUGGUGAAUGCGUUGAGCCAAGGCUACUCUUCUUUAGUAGCUUCGUCCAUCAUAGAUGACUGUUAUUUCAUGUCAUUAGAUUUUUCCCAUGUCACUUAUGAUCAUUGUAAUAGAGAAUGUAAUCGAGUGGCUCAUGAACUAGCAAGGUUAGCAAGGUUUUCUUCUUCGAGUGUUUGGAUGGAUAACGCCCCUGAUGAGGUUAUCCCUUUACUUGUAAACGAUGUUACUUUACUUAUAAAUGAAUAA